UACGGAGGGGACUAGCGUUGUUCGGAAUUACUGGGCGUAAAGGGUGCGUAGGUGGCGCUGUAAGUCGGGUGUGAAAUUUCGGAGCUUAACUCCGAAACUGCAUUCGAUACUGCGGUGCUUGAGGACUGGAGAGGAGACUGGAAUUCAUGGUGUAGCAGUGAAAUGCGUAGAGAUCAUGAGGAAGACCAGUGGCGAAGGCGGGUCUCUGGACAGUUCCUGACACUGAGGCACGAAGGCCAGGGGAGCAAACGGG
rnacentral:rRNA from 1 species